rnacentral:tRNA from 1 species
GUAUAGCUCAGUGGUAGAGCACUUGCCUAGCAUGCAUAAGGCCCUGAGUUCCAGCCUCAGCAC